GGGCCCGCACAAGCGGAGGAACAUGUGGUUUAAUUCGAUGAUACGCGAGGAACCUUACCAAGACUUAAAUGUAGAUUGACAGAUUGUGAAAACAGUUUUUCUUCGGACAAUUUACAAGGUGCUGCAUGGUUGUCGUCAGCUCGUGCCGUGAGGUGUCGGGUUAAGUCCCAUAACGAGCGCAACCCCUAUUUUUAGUUACCAGCGAGUAAUGUCGGGAACUCUAGAAAGACUGCCUGUGUAAACAGUGAGGAAGGUGGGGAUGACGUCAAAUCAUCACGGCCCUUAUGUCUUGGGCUACACACGUGUUACAAUGGUUACUACAGUGGGCUGCCAUCUGGCAACAGAGAGCAAAUCCAUAAAGGUAAUCCCAGUUCGGAUCGGAGUCUGCAACUCGACUCUGUG
rnacentral:rRNA from 1 species